AAAAAGGGCUUGAAUGGCAGCUGCUCUGCUGUGUUCACCCCAGAGAGCAAGGGAGAGAGAGAGACGUGGACUCACUGCAGCCAUCCCACACUGCAGAGCACGAUGCCCAUCAAUCACCCUACUGUCCCACACAGCCUCCCAUUGUUGGGGUUCCUGAGAAUCAAGAAACACGUUGGCAACCUCUGUUUGUUUUUUGUUCUCAGAAGGGCCCUGCAAUAACCAUCCCUUUGUCCGAGUCGUAUUGAUGGAAUCUGGAGAAUAAGCAGAUUUGCAACGGAUAUUAAUGUGCCAGAACAAUAAGUGAUCAGCGGUGCAACACAGGUCAAACAACAAGCGUGGCUUUUAUGUUGCCAGGAUACUGUGUGCUUGGGGGUUAUUCACUCACAGGAGGAAAUGAUCAUAUCUACACUGGGCCUGUCUGUAGUCACCCAGGUCCAGGCGCCGCCCUUGACAGAUGGACGGACAGACAAUCACUCUUGAAGACCAGAGAACCCUCACAACGACUGAAGGAACAAGAGUUCACAGGAAAAGAACAUCAAAUGCACAUGCAAGCAAAGCAUCGACUCGCCCUCUGUCUCUUUCUCAGAAGUUCCCCUGAGAGCAUGGACAAUGCCCUUCACUCAACAGUCAUAAAAGCCUUAUGAGCGUCAGUGGAGCUGUGGUCGUUCUGCGUGACUGGAGGAACGAGAGAGAAUGAAAAGACCAGGAGAUGAGACGCGAGUCAAAAACCACAGUGAGAGUGGCCUGAUUAAGGACUGACCCCAGUUCAUCUCCAGGACGUCCGUACUCUAGAACCUCUACACACACACACAUACUCUACAUGCACUCCUUCCUGUUUCACGCUGCCAAAUACUGAAGGACUUACUCAUAGCAUUGUGGUUAACCAAGGCUGAGUUCGUCGUUGCUUUGUUAAGGGUCUUUGAGGAGACUCGAUAGGGGAUUUGUUUAUUUCUAUCAAAAGCAUUUGGAAGUUGGAAGGACAUUGACUAAAGACAGUAAAUUAAACAAAAAAUAAUUAAAUCAUUUUAGAAAGCAGAGAUCUUCAGUGUUGUUUUUGUCUAUCCAUCCAUCCAUCCAUCCUCUGUGAAAAAAGAGAAAAAUGAGGCUUCGGCACAUUUCCAGUGAGUUUAUUUCAGUAGAAGUGGUUUUUAAAACACUUCACACUGUACCUCAAACAUCUCAUUUCCUUGAGACCCCCAUAAGCAAGCAAGAUCAACAUAUUCAAAUAUGGCGGUGUCCAAUAUCAUUAUAUUCUGUGCAAAAACAUUUUUAAGCAUACUAUUUUACAGAAGAAAAAAUUAAAAAUCUACAUUUUGGAAGGGUUGGGGGUUGAAACGGUCACACAAUCAAGAUGUAUAUUUUGUACAAUUGUCAAAACUUGGGACUACAUGAGAUAAAAUCCAUCAGGUGGCUGUAGAUAUGUGCCUUGUUUAAAACAGCCAAAGCAGGCAGGAGUAGUGACCUGUAUAGAACAACAACAAACAACUUCUACUGCUCUCUCUUCAGUACAGAUCAUUCUCUUUAGCAAUUGUGUAAGGGUACUGAGUGUGUGUGUGUGUGUGUGCACUCGUGUCGUCAUAAAUACAGUACAUACAUACAUACAAACUCAAUGUGUUCUAAUAAGGCAUAUGUGG